rnacentral:rRNA from 1 species
AUGCAAGUCGAACGCAGUAGCAAUGCUGAGUGGCAAACGGGUGAGUAUAAUGUGGGAAUCUGCCUUUUGGUUUGGAAUAACACGGGGAAACUUGUGCUAAUACCGGAUAAGCCUUUACAGGGAAAGUUUUAACGCCGAAAGAUGAGCCCGCACUUGAUUAGCUAGUUGGUAAGGUAAAAGCUUACCAAGGCAAUGAUCAAUAGCUGUUCUUAGAGGAAGACCAGCCACAUUGGGACUGAGACACGGCCCAGACUCCUACGGGAGGCAGCAGUGGGGAAUCUUGCACAAUGGGGGAAACCCUGAUGCAGCGAUGCCGCGUGAGUGAAGAAGGCCUUUGGGUUGUAAAACUCUUUCGUCGGGGAAGAAAAUGACUGUACCCGAAUAAGAAGGUCCGGCUAACUUCGUGCCAGCAGCCGCGGUAAUACGAAGGGACCUAGCGUAGUUCGGAAUUACUGGGCUUAAAGAGCUCGUAGGUGGUUAAAAAAGUUGAUGGUGAAAUCCCAAGGCUCAACCUUGGAACUGCCAUCAAAACUUUUUAGCUAGAGUGUGAUAGAGGUAAGUGGAAUUUCUAGUGUAGAGGUGAAAUUCGUAGAUAUUAGAAAGAACACCAAAUGCGAAGGCAACUUACUGGGUCACAACUGACACUGAGGAGCGAAAGCAUGGGUAGCGAAGAGGAUUAGAUACCCUCGUAGUCCAUGCCGUAAACGAUGUGUGCUAGACGUUGGAAAUAUAUUUUUCAGUGUCGCAGCGAAAGCGUUAAGCACACCGCCUGGGGAGUACGACCGCAAGGUUUAAACUCAAAUGAAUUGACGGGGACCCGCACAAGCAGUGGAGCAUGUGGUUU